UACAGAGGUCCCGAGCGUUGUUCGGAUUCACUGGGCGUAAAGGGUGCGUAGGUGGCAUGUUAAGUUUGAUGUGAAAGCUCAGGGCUUAACCCUGAAAUGGCAUUGAAUACUAGCGUGCUGGAGGUUUGGAGGGGGGACUGGAAUUCCCGGUGUAGCAGUGAAAUGCGUAGAGAUCGGGAGGAACAUCUGUGGCGAAGGCGACUACCUGGACCAGCACUGACACUGAGGCACGAAAGCGUGGGGAGCAAACAGG
rnacentral:rRNA from 1 species